AGGGUUUGAUCUUGGUUCAGGAUGAACGCUAGCUACAGGCUUAACACAUGCAAGUCGAGGGGCAGCAUUUUAGUUUGCUUGCAAACUAAAGAUGGCGACCGGCGCACGGGUGAGUAACACGUAUCCAACCUGCCGAUAACUCGGGGAUAGCCUUUCGAAAGAAAGAUUAAUAUCCGAUAGUAUAUUAAAACCGCAUGGUUUUACUAUUAAAGAAUUUCGGUUAUCGAUGGGGAUGCGUUCCAUUAGUUUGUUGGCGGGGUAACGGCCCACCAAGACUACGAUGGAUAGGGGUUCUGAGAGGAAGGUCCCCCACAUUGGAACUGAGACACGGUCCAAACUCCUACGGGAGGCAGCAGUGAGGAAUAUUGGUCAAUGGACGAGAGUCUGAACCAGCCAAGUAGCGUGAAGGAUGACUGCCCUAUGGGUUGUAAACUUCUUUUAUAUGGGAAUAAAGUAUUCCACGUGUGGAAUUUUGUAUGUACCAUAUGAAUAAGGAUCGGCUAACUCCGUGCCAGCAGCCGCGGUAAUACGGAGGAUCCGAGCGUUAUCCGGAUUUAUUGGGUUUAAAGGGAGCGUAGGUGGAUUGUUAAGUCAGUUGUGAAAGUUUGCGGCUCAACCGUAAAAUUGCAGUUGAAACUGGCAGUCUUGAGUACAGUAGAGGUGGGCGGAAUUCGUGGUGUAGCGGUGAAAUGCUUAGAUAUCACGAAGAACUCCGAUUGCGAAGGCAGCUCACUAGACUGCAACUGACACUGAUGCUCGAAAGUGUGGGUAUCAAACAGGAUUAGAUACCCUGGUAGUCCACACAGUAAACGAUGAAUACUCGCUGUUUGCGAUAUACAGUAAGCGGCCAAGCGAAAGCAUUAAGUAUUCCACCUGGGGAGUACGCCGGCAACGGUGAAACUCAAAGGAAUUGACGGGGGCCCGCACAAGCGGAGGAACAUGUGGUUUAAUUCGAUGAUACGCGAGGAACCUUACCCGGGCUUAAAUUGCAUUUGAAUAAUCUGGAAACAGGUUAGCCGCAAGGCAAAUGUGAAGGUGCUGCAUGGUUGUCGUCAGCUCGUGCCGUGAGGUGUCGGCUUAAGUGCCAUAACGAGCGCAACCCUUAUCUUUAGUUACUAACAGGUUAUGCUGAGGACUCUAGAGAGACUGCCGUCGUAAGAUGUGAGGAAGGUGGGGAUGACGUCAAAUCAGCACGGCCCUUACGUCCGGGGCUACACACGUGUUACAAUGGGGGGUACAGAAGGCAGCUACCUGGCGACAGGAUGCUAAUCCCAAAAACCUCUCUCAGUUCGGAUCGAAGUCUGCAACCCGACUUCGUGAAGCUGGAUUCGCUAGUAAUCGCGCAUCAGCCAUGGCGCGGUGAAUACGUUCCCGGGCCUUGUACACACCGCCCGUCAAGCCAUGAAAGCCGGGGGUACCUGAAGUACGUAACCGCAAGGAGCGUCCUAGGGUAAAACUGGUAAUUGGGGCU
rnacentral:rRNA from 1 species